rnacentral:rRNA from 1 species
GAUGAACGCUGGCGGCGUGCCUAAUACAUGCAAGUCGAGCGAACAGACGAGGAGCUUGCUCCUCUGACGUUAGCGGCGGACGGGUGAGUAACACGUGGAUAACCUACCUAUAAGACUGGGAUAACUUCGGGAAACCGGAGCUAAUCCCGGAUAAUAUAUUGAACCGCAUGGUUCAAUAGUGAAAGACGGUUUUGCUGUCACUUAUAGAUGGAUCCGCGCCGCAUUAGCUAGUUGGUAAGGUAACGGCUUACCAAGGCAACGAUGCGUAGCCGACCUGAGAGGGUGAUCGGCCACACUGGAACUGAGACACGGUCCAGACUCCUACGGGAGGCAGCAGUAGGGAAUCUGCCGCAAUGGGCGAAAGCCUGACGGAGCAACGCCGCGUGAGUGAUGAAGGUCUUCGGAUCGUAAAACUCUGUUAUUAGGGAAGAACAAAUGUGUAAGUAACUAUGCACGUCUUGACGGUACCUAAUCAGAAAGCCACGGCUAACUACGUG